UGCAGUCGAGCGGGGAAGGAGAUUGGCCUGCAUUCCUACCAGCGGACGACUGAGAAUGCUGACGAAUCUGCCUAUUAAUGGAGGACGACGUUCCCUGGGGGACGCUACUACCGCCUACUUCCUACGCGAGACCGCAGGGGAUCAUCUUCCCUUGUCCUGCUAUCUGAUGCUACCUCAUGUUAUUUACUUGGUGGGGGGGAGGCCUACCACCGCGACGAUCAGCCCCGGGUGUGAGAGGAUGAUCCGCCACCCUGGGACUGCUGCACCGCCCACACUACUCCUGGAGGAGGCAGUGGGGAAUAUUGUUGCAUGUGGCAACCCUGAUCCAGCCAUGCCGCCUGUGGGAAGAAGGCCUUUUGCUUGUUGAGCACUUUUUUCGAGGAGGAGGAUUGCCUGGUUGAUACCUGGGAUAACUGGACGUUACUCGCGCAAUAAAAACCGGCUAACUCUGUGCCCCAGCCGCGGUAAUACACGAGGGGGCAAGCGUUAAUCGGAUUUACUGGGCGUAAAGCGCGCGUAGGUGGCUAAUUAAGUCAAAUGUGAAAUCCCCGAGCUUAACUUGGGAAACUGUUUCAUACUGGUUAGCUUAGUAUCUUGAGAAGAUGGUAGAAUUCCCAGUGUAACGGUGAAAUGCCUAGAGAUCUGGAAGAAUACCGAUGGCGAAAGCAGCCCUCUGGCCUAAUACUUGAACU
rnacentral:rRNA from 1 species